rnacentral:misc_RNA from 1 species
AACGCACCUUGCGCUCCUUGGUAUUCCGAGGAGCAUGCCUGUUUGAGUGUCAUGAAAUCUUCAACUUACAAGCUCUUUGCGGGGUUUGUAGGCUUGGACUUGGAGGCUUGUCGGCCUUUAACGGUCGGCUCCUCUUAAAUGCAUUAGCUUGAUUUCCUUGCGGAUCGGCUGUCGGUGUGAUAAUGUCUACUCCGCGACCGUGAAGCGUUUGGCAAGCUUCUAACCGUCUCGUUACAGAGACAGCUUUAUGACCUCUGACCUCAAAUCAGGUAGGACUACCCGCUGAACUUAA